rnacentral:tRNA from 1 species
CCUUAGGAAGCUAAUGUCAGCAUUUAACUGUUAAUUAUUUCCCAGCCACCCCGGCCCUAAACA